rnacentral:rRNA from 1 species
CAGCAGUAGCCGCGGUAAUACGUAGGGCGCAAGCGUUAUCCGGAAUUAUUGGGCGUAAAGAGCUCGUAGGCGGUUUGUCGCGUCUGCCGUGAAAGUCCGGGGCUCAACCCCGGAUCUGCGGUGGGUACGGGCAGACUAGAGUGAUGUAGGGGAGACUGGAAUUCCUGGUGUAGCGGUGAAAUGCGCAGAUAUCAGGGGGAACACCGAUGGCGAAGGCAGGUCUCUGGGCAUUAACUGACGCUGAGGAGCGAAAGCAUGGGGAGCGAACAGGAUUAGAUACCCGAGUAGUCCCUGUCUCUUAUAA